rnacentral:rRNA from 1 species
UACGUAGGGGGCAAGCGUUGGUCCGGAAUCAUUGGGCGUAAAGAGCGUGUAGGCGGCCCGAUAAGUCCGCUGUGAAAGUCCAGGGCUCAACCCUGGGAUGCCGGUGGAUACUGUCGGGCUCGAGUCCGGAAGAGGAGUGUGGAAUUCCUGGUGUAGCGGUGAAAUGCGCAGAUAUCGGGAAGAACACCCGUGGCGAAGGCGGUUCUCUGGGACGGUACUGACGCUGAGACGCGAAAGCGUGGGGAGCGAACA